GACGAACGCNGGCGGCGUGCUUAACACAUGCAAGUCGAACGAAGAGCGAUGGAAGCUUGCUUCUAUCAAUCUUAGUGGCGAACGGGUGAGUAACGCGUAAUCAACCUGCCCUUCAGAGGGGGACAACAGUUGGAAACGACUGCUAAUACCGCAUACGAUCUAAUCUCGGCAUCGAGGAUAGAUGAAAGGUGGCCUCUACAUGUAAGCUAUCACUGAAGGAGGGGAUUGCGUCUGAUUAGCUAGUUGGAGGGGUAACGGCCCACCAAGGCGAUGAUCAGUAGCCGGUCUGAGAGGAUGAACGGCCACAUUGGGACUGAGACACGGCCCAGACUCCUUCGGGAGGCAGCAGUGGGGAAUCUUCCGCAAUGGACGAAAGUCUGACGGAGCAACGCCGCGUGAGUGAUGACGGCCUUCGGGUUGUAAAGCUCUGUUAAUCGGGACGAAAGGCCUUCUUGCGAAUAGNGAGAAGGAUGA
rnacentral:rRNA from 1 species